ACGAAGGUUUCGGCCUUAUUGGCGGACGGGUGAGUAACGCGUAGGAAUCUAUCCAUGGGUGGGGGAUAACACUGGGAAACUGGUGCUAAUACCGCAUGAUACCUGAGGGUCAAAGGCGCAAGUCGCCUGUGGAGGAGCCUGCGUUCGAUUAGCUAGUUGGUGGGGUAAAGGCCUACCAAGGCGAUGAUCGAUAGCUGGUUUGAGAGGAUGAUCAGCCACACUGGGACUGAGACACGGCCCAGACUCCUACGGGAGGCAGCAGUGGGGAAUCUUCCGCAAUGGGCGAAAGCCUGACGGAGCAACGCCGCGUGAACGUGGAAGGUCUUCGGAUCGUA
rnacentral:rRNA from 1 species